rnacentral:tRNA from 1 species
AGGAUUUUAGUUUAAAAAAAACAGUUAAAUUGCAUUUAAAAAAUAUUUACCAACAUAUAUAUAAAUCUUA